rnacentral:rRNA from 1 species
GACGUAGGAUGCAAGCGUUAUCCGGAAUUAUUGGGCGUAAAGCGUUCGUAGGUGGUUUGUUAAGUUAGAUGUUAAAGCCUUGAGCUCAACUCAAGUAAUGUAUCUAAAACUGGCAGACUAGAGACAGGUAGAGGUAGAUGGAAUUCUGUAUGUAGGGGUAAUAUCCGUAGAUAUACAGAGGAACACCAAAAGCGAAGGCAGUCUACUGGACCUGUUCUGACACUCAAGAACAAAAGCGUGGGGAGCAAACGGG